rnacentral:rRNA from 1 species
UAANCNAUGCAUGUNUAAGUAUAAGCAAUUAUACCGCGAAACUGCGAAUGGCUCAUUAUAUAAGUUAUCGUUUAUUUGAUAGCACAUUACUACUUGGAUAACCGUGGUAAUUCUAGAGCUAAUACAUGCUAAAAAUCCCGACUUCGGAAGGGAUGUAUUUAUUAGAUUAAAAGCCAACGCCCUUCGGGGCUCUGUGGUGAUUCAUAAUAACUGGUCGAAUCGCAUGGCCUUGCGCCGGCGAUGGUUCAUUCAAAUUUCUUCCCUAUCAACUUUCGAUGCGAGGGUCUUGUCCUCGCAUGGUUGCAACGGGUAACGGAGGGUUAGGGCUCGACCCCGGAGAAGGAGCCUGAGAAACGGCUACUACAUCCAAGGAAGGCAGCAGGCGCGCAAAUUACCCAAUCCCGACACGGGGAGGUAGUGACAAUAAAUACUGAUACAGGGCUCUUUUGGGUCUUGUAAUCGGAAUGAGUACAAUUUAAAUCCCUUAACGAGGAACAAUUGGAGGGCAAGUCUGGUGCCAGCAGCCGCGGUAAUUCCAGCUCCAAUAGCGUAUAUUAAAGUUGUUGUGGUUAAAAAGCUCGUAGUCGAACCUUGGGCCUGGCUGGCCGGUCCCCCUCACCGGGUGCACUGAUCCAGCCGGGCCUUUCCCUCUGUGGAACCCCAUGGCCUUCACUGGCUGUGCGGGGGAAACAGGACUUUUACUGUGAAAAAAUUAGAGUGCUCCAGGCAGGCCUAUGCUCGAAUACAUUAGCAUGGAAUAAUAGAAUAGGACGUGUGGUUCUAUUUUGUUGGUUUCUAGGACCGCCGUAAUGAUUAAUAGGGACAGUCGGGGGCAUCAGUAUUCAGUUGUCAGAGGUGAAAUUCUUGGAUCUACUGAAGACUAACUACUGCGAAAGCAUUUGCCAAGGAUGUUUUCAUUGAUAAGGAACGAAAGUUAGGGGAUCGAAGACGAUCAGAUACCGUCGUAGUCUUAACUAUAAACUAUGCCGACUAGGGAUCGGACGAUGUUAUUAUUUGACGCGUUCGGCACCUUUCGA